GGAGAAAGUAACUAAGAACAGAAGGUCAGUCAGUUAUGAAGAUGGAGCAGGAAUCCAGGAGAAUCUAGUGGAGACUUUCCAGGGCUAUUGUGUGCCAGUUCACAGGCUGUGCACUGCAGAGCUCCAGGAGACAUAAUCCAUUGCAGGCUGGGGUUUGAAUCGUCCCUUGCAGCUAGGAAACAGGGAGGUCUUGAGAGUUCAGGUCAAGGGAGAACCUCUGGGACCAUGGGGGUGGAUUCUUUUCUAAUGUUGUAUAUAAGCCAGCCAGCUCACAGCUAAUCAUGGGGGCUCCUACCCCUUCCUGCCAGCGGGAGCUAGAGAUGGGCUUUUAUGCAACCUCAUGUUUCUCCAUUUCUAAUACAAUGCCUGUUCUUCUUUUAAAGGGCUGAACUUUAACUCUGUCUGAAUUGAAAGCCCAAGAGGAAACCAUCAGAAGCCACACCCCACAGGGCAUCAUCCUCCAACGCCCCAAACACCCAAGGAUGAGAAGCACAGAGGAAAACAACCCAGGUCGGAGAGACACAGGGGAGACGAUGGUUGCCUGAUGCUAAACACUGAACCCAUUAACCUCGGUCUAGUCUUUGGCACAAGACCAGCAUCUAGCAAGUUCAUUUUGUCAUAUACACCCAGAACGUCCAGUGAUGCUGCUUUCAGGCGAUGGCUUGAGCCACGGUCAAAGUCUACCUAGCAGUCACACCUGAGAAGGCAGACGCCUGGAAAACCCACACGAUGGACGACGCCAGAGCAGAAGCCUGACACCUUGGAAAAACUUAGGUCCGAGAGACAACGGGGCAGGUAAACUUGCCGGCACCCAGGGCUGGAACCAUGCCCUCCUCUACUCCAGACAGGGGACUAUCAAACUGCUGCCACCCCUCUUCUCCCCCCCCCCGACCC